rnacentral:lncRNA from 1 species
UUUAGCAAGAGAAUUGGAAUUGAGUUUUGGAGAAAAUGAGAUGGUAUUUAUAGGGGUGUGGCCGGCCCCUUUGGAAGGAUGAGGAUCAGCCACUUGGAUGGUUUUUUGGGUGAGAUUCAAGAUUUGUUAGCUAAUUAAUAAAUUAAUUAGGUAAUAUAUUAAUAUAAUUAGAAAGCAAUAAUUUGGGGGUUACCUUGUGGAGAAGAUUUGAUGAGGAUGGAUUAAAUAGGUUUUGAAUAAAUACCUAUUUUGGGCACUUUUGACUUGAUUAAGGUAUUAUUGUCCACUGCUCGUGCGUAGGAGUUGCGGUGUUCCUCGAGGGUAAUUUUGUCCUUUUCACCUUAAAAUCCACGUGUCGCCUCCAUAUUCUUCCUGAUUUUUUUUUGCUCCACAAUGCACAAUCAAAAAGGUCCACUUAAAAGCCUUCUUUUGUUGCAUGUGAUCUCCACUUCUCUUCGCACCAAAUUUAUGAUUGUUCAUCUUCAUCACAGAUUGUUAAUUUUUCUUAUCAUCCUAAGUAACCAUACUUUUGUAGUAUAUUGGCUCCUAGAAAAAUCUAGGACACCUUUAAUAACCAUUCAAUUUUUGGUUUUUAAUUUUUAAUUUUUAUGUUUGAAACAUGGGGAAAAUAUGAAGCAGCAGGAGGGAUGAAGAAUGAUGGUGAAAGGGAGAGAAAAAUUAAAGAAGGAAUGAAAACAAAAUUUUAAAAGUGAAAACAACUUGAAAUAGUAUUAACUUGAUGUUAUCAAACGGCACUUAGUUACAUAUGUUAUUGCCAAUUAUAGUCCCUAUCCGAUCAUAUUGUGUGAUCCAUUUAGUUGCAAAUGUUCAAAUUAUAGUCCCUUCACUACGUUUGUUGUUUAUUGGUCUCAUAAAUAUCCGAUCAUACUGUAGUGUGGGGAGUCUAGGGACAAAGAUUGAUCCACAUUGCAACAAAUCAAGGAUCAUUACUCACGAAUUUUUAUUCGAAGACUACAAUUCUAAUUAGAUUAUAGUUUAGAGACUAAUGAAUCUAAUUUUCAGCUUUCGAAAAUAGUUCGGAAACAAGGUGUAUUUUAUUAAUCAACUUCAGAUAAUGAAAUGAGUGGUGCACCUCAGUACGUAGUUAAUACCAACUCCCUUGUCAAAUAUGGUGUCUUAUUUCUAACGUAGGAUUUUUCAAAGUUAGUGGUGUGAUGAGAGAAGACAACAUAUAUAUGGGUAAAUUACACUUUACCACCUCAAGUUUGGGGUCCAUUUUAAUUUCUUACAAC